AUUGAACGCUGGCGGCAGGCCUAACACAUGCGAGUCGAGCGGAUGAAGGGAGCUUGCUCCUGGAUUCAGCGGCGGACGGGUGAGUAAUGCCUAGGAAUCUGCCUGGUAGUGGGGGAUAACGUCCGGAAACGGGCGCUAAUACCGCAUACGUCCUGAGGGAGAAAGUGGGGGAUCUUCGGACCUCACGCUAUCAGAUGAGCCUAGGUCGGAUUAGCUGGUUGGUGGGGUAAAGGCCUACCAAGGCGACGAUCCGUAACUGGUCUGAGAGGAUGAUCAGUCACACUGGAACUGAGACACGGUCCAGACUCCUACGGGAGGCAGCAGUGGGGAAUAUUGGACAAUGGGCGAAAGCCUGAUCCAGCCAUGCCGCGUGUGUGAAGAAGGUCUUCGGAUUGUAAAGCACUUUAAGUUGGGAGGAAGGGCAGUAAGUUAAUACCUUGCUGUUUUGACGUUACCAACAGAAUAAGCACCGGCUAACUUCGUG
rnacentral:rRNA from 1 species